AAGACUUUAAGUUAAUUAAACUAAAGACCUUCAAAGCCUUAAAUGACAUACGUCAAGUCUUG
rnacentral:tRNA from 1 species